CCUACGGGUCGCAGCAGUGGGGAAUAUUGCACAAUGGGCGCAAGCCAGAUGCAGCCAUGCCGCGUGUAUGAAGAAGGCCUUAGGGUUGUAAAGUACUUUCAGCGGGGAGGAAGGCGAUAAGGUUAAUAACCUUGUCGAUUGACGUUACCCGCAGAAGAAGCACCGGCUAACUCCGUGCCAGCAGCCGCGGUAAUACGGAGGGUGCAAGCGUUAAUCGGAAUUACUGGGCGUAAAGCGCACGCAGGCGGUCUGUCAAGUCGGAUGUGAAGUCCCCGGCUCAACCUGGGAACUGCAUCCGAAACUGGCAGGCUAGAGUCUUGUAGAGGGGGGUAGAAUUCCAGGUGUAGCGGUGAAAUGCGUAGAGAUCUGGAGGAGUACCGGUGGCGAAGGCGGCCCCCUGGACAAAGACUGACGCUCAGGUGCGAAAGCGUGGGGAGCAAACAGGAUUAGAUACCCGUGUAGUC
rnacentral:rRNA from 1 species